ACUCCUACGGGAGGCAGCAGUGGGGAAUAUUGCGCAAUGGGCGAAAGCCUGACGCAGCGACGCCGCGUGUGGGAUGACGGCCUUCGGGUUGUAAACCACUGUCGGGAGGGACGAAGCUCUGACGGUACCUCCAAAGGAAGCACCGGCUAACUCUGUGCCAGCAGCCGCGGUAAUACAGAGGGUGCGAGCGUUAAUCGGAAUUACUGGGCGUAAAGCGUGCGCAGGCGGUUUUGUAAGUCAGAUGUGAAAGCCCCGGGCUCAACCUGGGAACUGCGUUUGAAACUACAAGGCUAGAGUGUAGCAGAGGGGGGUAGAAUUCCACGUGUAGCAGUGAAAUGCGUAGAGAUGUGGAGGAAUACCAAUGGCGAAGGCAGCCCCCUGGGUUAACACUGACGCUCAUGCACGAAAGCGUGGGGAGCAAACAGGAUUAGAUACCCUGGUAGUCCACGCCCUAAACGAUGUCUACUAGUUGUUGGGAGAGUAAAAUCUCUUAGUAACGCAGCUAACGCGUGAAGUAGACCGCCUGGGGAGUACGGUCGCAAGAUUAAAACUUAAAGGAAUUGACG
rnacentral:rRNA from 1 species